CUAUACAUGCAGUCGAACGAAACUUUCUUACACCGAAUGCUUGCAUUCACCGUAAGAAGUUGAGUGGCGGACGGGUGAGUAACACGUGGGUAACCUGCCUAAAAGAAGGGGAUAACACUUGGAAACAGGUGCUAAUACCGUAUAUCUCUAAGGAUCGCAUGAUCCUUAGACGAAAGAUGGUUCUGCUAUCGCUUUUAGAUGGACCCGCGGCGUAUUAACUAGUUGGUGGGGUAACGGCCUACCAAGGUGAUGAUACGUAGCCGAACUGAGAGGUUGAUCGGCCACAUUGGGACUGAGACACGGCCCAAACUCCUACGGGAGGCAGCAGUAGGGAAUCUUCCACAAUGGACGCAAGUCUGAUGGAGCAACGCCGCGUGAGUGAAGAAGGUCUUCGGAUCGUAAAACUCUGUUGUUAGAGAAGAACACGAGUGAGAGUAACUGUUCAUUCGAUGACGGUAUCUAACCAGCAAGUCACGGCUAACUACGUGCCAGCAGCCGCGGUAAUACGUAGGUGGCAAGCGUUGUCCGGAUUUAUUGGGCGUAAAGGGAACGCAGGCGGUCUUUUAAGUCUGAUGUGAAAGCCUUCGGCUUAACCGGAGUAGUGCAUUGGAAACUGGAAGACUUGAGUGCAGAAGAGGAGAGUGGAACUCCAUGUGUAGCGGUGAAAUGCGUAGAUAUAUGGAAGAACACCAGUGGCGAAAGCGGCUCUCUGGUCUGUAACUGACGCUGAGGUUCGAAAGCGUGGGUAGCAAACAGGAUUAGAUACCCUGGUAGUCCACGCCGUAAACGAUGAAUGCUAGGUGUUGGGAGGGUUUCCGCCCUUCAGUGCCGCAGCUAACGCAAUAAGCAUUCCGCCUGGGGAGUACGACCGCAAGGUUGAAACUCAAAGGAAUUGACGGGGGCCCGCACAAGCGGUGGAGCAUGUGGUUUAAUUCGAAGCAACGCGAAGAACCUUACCAGGUCUUGACAUCCUUUGACCACCUAAGAGAUUAGGCUUUCCCUUCGGGGACAAGUGACAGGUGGUGCAUGGCUGUCGUCAGCUCGUGUCGUGAGAUGGUUGGGUUAAUUCCCGCACGAGCGCAACCCUUGUUGUCAUUGCCAGCAUUAAUUUGGGCCUCUGGCAGACUGCCGUGACAACCGAAGAAAGGUGGGGACACCUCCAGUCUCCAGCCCCUAUAACCGGGGGAACACCUGGUUCAUGGAGGGUCACCAAUCCCGAACCGCGGGUUUGCUAUCUUUAAACCUUUUCUUUUUGAAUUUAGGGGCACUCGCCGCCGAAAUCGAA
rnacentral:rRNA from 1 species